GCCAGUGUACCAGAGAACCAUGCAGGUAAAGAUAGUGUAUCCUGAACCCGAACUCUUUCUAUAUGUUUGAUAGCUUUAAUGGCUGGACCAUUCAUUUUCGUUAGCCUGAACUCUUGCUAUAUGUCACUGAUUGCAACACUAAUCUGACAAAACUGAGAAAAAAAAAUUCUUGUAACUGCGGUCGGUUGGUGACUCCUACGAAUUAAGCCGUCAAAUGACUUUCUUGCGCUGAAAAAUAAGAUGAUGUGCACAAAGAAAUAAAAACUAAAUAAACUACUACCCUGCAGAAACUGAGACAAAUAAAUAGACCAGCAAGACUAAGGCUAAUCUAUUCAUGACUGAUAACUAAAGCCUGAGAUCGAGAAAAAACAAAAAAUAAGAAUGCGAAAUGACAAGGGCAGCAACAAAAAGAAAGUCUUUGAUUGACUGCAAGGUCAUCAAAUAUGUCUCCCUCCUUCAAUUUUGACCAUUAGCCUAAAUAUAGGGUCGUAUCCGGUGAAAACUCCGGUCCACUGAAAACCUGCAAAUUUCCGUUGUGAGUCGUUGGAUCACGAAUACAUGGUUUGGAUCAGAGGUGGGAGUCCUCAGGCCACUUAAAAGGACUUUUGCGCAAAAUCCUCAGCCUAAAUCCCCACCUUGGUCGAUUUGAAAAAAGAAGAAGAAAAACUCCCUUUCUUUCCCCAACUCCAACUUGGAGGCGUCGCCGGCGACCCACCACUGUCCUAGCGCCGGUGCCCCACCCCUCUCCUCGGUCUCCCAACCCCUCUCCUAGCGACAACGAAUCAGAAGCCGUGGUGGCGCUAGCGCCAUGUUAUGGCAUAUGGCGUGGCCAGCAUCAUGGCUUGGCCCUGGCGGCGGUGGCUGCGGCCCCCCACGACGGCCACCAUUCGGUGGGCGCGACGACCACCACCACAACCGGGCGCUUAACUAAGUUGAUAGCUGAAGACCAUAUGUCAAUGCAUGGCUUGGGCUUCAGGAAGCUGUGGCUAUGGCCUGACCUUCAAAGGGAGCAAACAAAAUCUAUCCCUGGCCAAGAUUAACCGCUGGUUGAAGCAUUAGAAGUUGCUUUAUUUUACAAAGUAGCUGCUCUUUCAAAAGAGGCAGAUAGAAAGAUACUUCAGAGUGUUUCUUUUUCUUAGAAGAACAUUUUCAUCUUCAGAGAUGUCAACCUGUGAAGCUCAUGUUUUGCAUAUUUUUAGAUGGCCUUUGUGCCUACAUCCAGUGCAUGUUUCAAAGGAUUGUUGUCCAGUUCAUGGCAUAUAUGCACCAUGCCUCACUUUUAACAGGGUAAAAUCCAUGGAGUUUUGCAACUUUGCAAGCAAAGUGUAGUUUCAAGGUGCCGAAACAUAUGGUACAUCAACACAGCAAUGAUCUAUGCCUUGAUUCAUUCAGAUCUGUACAGCAAAGCUACAGAACAAGAAAAGAAAAAUCUUGUACAUUGAUUGAAGCUUCAGCAAAGGAACAUGUCUGCUUUCUUCAGCAAAAUAGCAGGUUCAGUAGCGCAACUUUUCAGCAGUAGGCUUCGCCGUCGCAUGGAGAGAGGAAGCAGCGCCGGGUCACCGUCCCAUGAAGUCUGGAGGCGGCGCCGUCGCCUGGUGGAGGUGCGCCACAGCAGGGCAACCAAGCCGCCGCCGACGCAUGGGCCAGGCCGCUGCAGGGCAAACGUGGCACCGACCGACGCCGUUGCUUGAGGCACCGUCGUGGCAGUCGUCUCCCUCGCGUGGGGCAGCGCCAGGUCAAACGUUGGCGUAGGUCCCAUCGCGGCAAGCUGUCGAUUCGCCAGGUCGUGGCCGCCGCCGCCGGCGGUUGCGCGUGCUGCCGCUAGCGCGCGGGGACGAAGGGAGGAGAGUAUGUUUCCAGGGAGAGGCCGCCGCCUCCAGCGCCUGGGCCGCCGACGAGUCGUCGUCGCAAGGAGGGGCGCUGAGGUCGGGAGAAGCGCCAAGGUCGCCAGGAAGGAAGGGCCAAGGUCUUGGACUCGCGGGUUGGGAACGAGGGGAUUUCUUCAGGCUGAAUCGGAAGUUCGGUACGCGCAACGGCGAAGGGAGGAAACGGCAAGGGGCUUUGCGCAAAAGUGCGACUGUGCGAGUGGCCCGAGGGAUUGCCAUCUCUGAUCCGAAACGUGUAUUCUCGAUCAAACGGCUCAUGACGGAAGUUCGCUGGUUUUUACUGUAAUGGAGUUUUCACCAGAUAUGUCACCAUGUUGCAAACGGAAAUAACCAUCUUUCUACCGUGAAACAAGGAAGGAAAUAGUUAUAUUGAUCACUACACCA